AGAAUCAACGCUGGCGGCGUGCCUAACACAUGCAAGUCGAACGAGAAAGUGGAGCAAUCCACAAGUAAAGUGGCGCACGGGUGAGUAACACGUGACUAACCUACCCUUGAGUGGGGGAUAACCUAGGGAAAACCUGGGCUAAUACCGCAUAAUACCUACGGGUCAAAGGAGCAAUUCGCCUAAGGAGGGGGUCGCGGCCGAUUAGUUAGUUGGCGGGGUAAUGGCCCACCAAGACGAUGAUCGGUAUCCGGCCUGAGAGGGCGCACGGACACACUGGAACUGAAACACGGUCCAGACUCCUACGGGAGGCAGCAGUGGGGAAUUUUGCGCAAUGGGGAAACCCUGACGCAGCAACGCCGCGUGGAGGAUGAAGUCCCUUGGGACGUAAACUCCUUUCGAUCGGGACGAUAAUGACGGUACCGGAAGAAGAAGCCCGGCUAACUUCGUGCCAGCAGCCGC
rnacentral:rRNA from 1 species